GACGAACGCUGGCGGCGUGCCUAAUACAUGCAAGUUGAGCGCUGAAGGUUGGUACUUGUACCGACUGGAUGAGCAGCGAACGGGUGAGUAACGCGUGGGGAAUCUGCCUUUGAGCGGGGGACAACAUUUGGAAACGAAUGCUAAUACCGCAUAAAAACUUUAAACACAAGUUUUAAGUUUGAAAGAUGCAAUUGCAUCACUCAAAGAUGAUCCCGCGUUGUAUUAGCUAGUUGGUGAGGUAAAGGCUCACCAAGGCGAUGAUACAUAGCCGACCUGAGAGGGUGAUCGGCCACAUUGGGACUGAGACACGGCCCAAACUCCUACGGGAGGCAGCAGUAGGGAAUCUUCGGCAAUGGACGCAAGUCUGACCGAGCAACGCCGCGUGAGUGAAGAAGGUUUUCGGAUCGUAAAACUCUGUUGGCAGAGAAGAACGUUGGUGAGAGUGGAAAGCUCAUCAAGUGACGGUAACUACCCAGAAAGGGACGGCUAACUACGUG
rnacentral:rRNA from 1 species